rnacentral:rRNA from 1 species
UACGAAGGGGGCUAGCGUUGCUCGGAAUCACUGGGCGUAAAGGGUGCGUAGGCGGGUCUUUAAGUCAGGGGUGAAAUCCUGGAGCUCAACUCCAGAACUGCCUUUGAUACUGAAGAUCUUGAGUUCGGGAGAGGUGAGUGGAACUGCGAGUGUAGAGGUGAAUUUCGUAGAUAUUCGCAAGAACACCAGUGGCGAAGGCGGCUCACUGGCCCGAUACUGACGCUGAGGCACGAAAGCGUGGGGAGCAAACAGG